rnacentral:lncRNA from 1 species
GUCCUUUUGGUUUUCAGAUCUCUGCAGGUAUUCAAUGGACGUCUGCUUUGUGCCAGGCACUGUGCUGGGAGGGCAUGAGCGUGGUCCCCAGACAGAGGGAUGCUCAUGAUAGUGAGAGAGAUGCAGUAGGAACCCGAGGAUACCUGAGUGAUGGGGGGUGGGGGCAGAGACAGAGUUAGUGAGGCCUCCUGGGGAUGGCGACUUCCAGGCUGAGAGCCACUGUCCAGUGCCCCUGAGACGGCCCCCAGGGGGCAGGGCUGGGCUUGUUUAAGCAAAACUAGGGGCCAGCUGGUGUAAGUGGAGGGUAAAGAGGACACAAGGGCAGGCAGGGGCUGAUCACAGACCCUGAGCGCUGUGAAGGGAGCAGGGGUUUUGUUUUUUAGUAAGGCAUUCACCGCAGUAAAAAUCUCCAUGUUUUAUACGGAUUACAUUUGAAGUGACACUCUGUUAGAACUUCUGAGCUUAAGAAAAUACAUUGUUAAAAUUAGGUUGACCUCUUUCUUUUUACUCUUUAAUGUGCCACCUGUGGCUGUGACUUUCACGUGUGGCUCGUCAGUGUAUUGCUGUUGGCAGUACUGGUCUAAGGUCUGUGGUAGAUGUCAACUCAAUAGAUUGAGGCCAAGUCCGGCGUUGCUUCGUGGAAACGAAUCUGACGAGGACCCAUGAGGAUGCAGGUUGGAACCCUGGCCCUGCUCAGUGGGUUAAGGAUCUGGCGUUGCCGUGAGCUGUGGUGUAGGUUGCAGACACGGCUCAGAUCUGACGUGGCUGUGGCUGCGGUGUAGGCUGGCGGCCACAGCUCCGAUUUGACCCCUAGCCUGGGAACCUCCACAUGCUGAGGGUGUGGCUCUACAAAGACAAAAAAAAAAAAAAACAAAAGAUGAAGGCCAGUCAAGAAGGGUUCCCUGUGUGGAUUCCACUGAUGGGUGAAAGCGGCAUCCCGGCCACACUGCCAGCCUCUGGGAAUCCUGUGGGGACUUCCUCUGCAGCUUUUCCCUUCCUUUUCAGGGUUCCAUGUGGAGGAAGCCAGUGGAGAGUGUGUCCGGUGCACAGACGGAGUGGAUUACACCAGUCAUCCAAACACCCUCUUUUCUUGCUUACGCUGCACGGUUUGCAAAUCAGGUGAAGAAGAGAAGACCCCUUGCACAGCAACUGCGGACACACGGUGUGAGUGCAAACCUGGAACUUUCCGUGAGAAAACUCCCCGAGUUCUG